rnacentral:tRNA from 3 species
ACAUGUUUAGUAUAAGAUAAUACAUUAGAUUUAGGUUCUAAAGAUUUUUAAAUAUGUU